GAACAAUAAAAUAAUGGAAAAUCCUGGCUACAUAUUGAAGCCCUAAACAAAGAGUUGGCUUUCCAGUUCAAGUUGGCUAAGGUUGCUGGAAAACAAAGAAACUAUAUCAUCACAAUUCUGAAAGCCAACUGAACCUAGAAUUCCAUACCCAGCCCAAUUCUCAUGGGAAGGUAGGAACCAGUGGUCAUCAGCAACAAAGGUCCUGAAGAGAGAUCAGUCUCCAAAGAGAAUGAAAGCGGGGCUUUGUGAAGCCAUGAAUACAAGAUGCAGUGACCUGUGAAUAAGCACAGUCAACUAGUACUAAAAGAAAAUCAGAUUGGAGGCUCUAUUGCAGACCAAGCCAGAGCUAAAAAGAUGACAGUCACCUUUAGGAUAUAGCAAGCAAAGUGUGACUUAAAGCCUGACUACCUUUAAGGAGAGAAGGUCACAAUGCCAGGAUGGAUCAUGACUAAGAGGAGAGCAAUAUUCAAAGGGAGCAAAUAUCUUCUCCAGAAUUUUGGACUUUAUGGGAACACAUACCGAAAGUUGGAAACAGAGACCUUCGUGGACCCUCUGUAAAAUACCUGCCUCUGUGAAUGGCUGCCCUCGAGUGCCCUGGCUUUUGACAGUGCAAGAAUGACUGCCUUUUGGGGCUGGACUGUACUAUGGGGGAGAAACUAGAUCCUAUUUGUGCAGAAAUGGAUCACCUCAUUGAGAGCUUUCUGUAACUACAACUACCAGAGGCCUAUUGCUUAACUAUUUCAUGACCACAUUAAUAUAGAGUAACACUGUUAUGUGUAAAAGAAGCCUCCAUCU